rnacentral:rRNA from 1 species
GCUGUGAAGCGGAGCAAAUCUCAAAAACCGGUCCCAGUUCGGAUUGUAGGCUGCAACUCGCCUACAUGAAGUCGGAGUUGCUAGUAAUCGCGGAUCAGAAUGCCGCGGCGAAUGCGUUCCCGGGUCUUGUACACACCGCCCGUCACACCAUGGAAGUUGGGGGCGCCCGAAGUUGCCUAAGAAAUAAGGUACCUAAGGCGAAACCAAUGACUGGGGUGAAGUCGUAACAAGGUACC